AUGGCAACUGCAAUAGUGGUGGGUUUUUGUACCGGCGCAAUGAAACCUGUUCUUCAAAAGCUGGCCACUCUAAUGGGAGACGAGUUCUCCAAGGUGAAAAACGUGCGGAAGGAUGUGGAGUUUCUCAGUGAUGAGCUUACAAGCAUGAAUGUUUUUCUUGAGAGCCUUGAAGAUGUGGACGAGCUAGAUGCACAAACCAAGCUCUGGAGAAACAAAGUGAGGAACAUGUCCUAUGACAUUGAGAACAUCAUUGAUGACUUCAAGCGAAAAAUUGGUGAGAAAGGUGAAAAGGAUGGGCUCGCCAUGAAGACUCUUCGACUCCUGAAAUCUUCCAGAGCCCGUCAGCAGAUAGCUGGCCAGAUUGAAGAGAUCAAGAAACUAGUGUCUGAUACUAGUGAACGACACAAAAGAUAUGAAUCUAAAGCUCGUCCAUCAAGUGAUGUGACCACUGACCCACGAGUUGUCACAUUCUAUCAAGAUGCAAUUAGCCUUGUUGGGCUGGAGGGGCUAACUGAUGAGCUCGUCAAUUACCUGAAGGACGAGGAGACACAGUUGAAGGUGGUAUCCAUUGUGGGAUUCGGAGGACUGGGAAAAACAACACUCGCCAAUGAGGUAUACCGUCAGUCCAAAGGUGGACUUGAAUGUUGUGCAUUGGUCGCAGUGACGCAGAAGCCAAACAUCCCAAGUCUUCUACGUAGUUUACUAUCUGAAGUUGGGAGCAAAUCAUGUACUAAUGGUUGUGACGAAAAUGUUCUUAUCAACAAACUCAGAGUAUAUCUGCAACAUAAGAGGUACUUGAUUGUAAUUGAUGAUCUAUGGGAGAGAUUACCAUGGGAUAUUAUUAAAGGUGCUUUCCCAGAUAAUGGCCUUGGCAGCAGAGUAAUAACAACUACAAGAAUACAUGACGUGGCUAAGGCAUGUUGCUCCAAUCCCCGUGAUUAUAUAUUGAAAAUGAAGCCACUUAGCGAUGAAGACUCAAGAAGACUAUUCUUUGGUAGGAUAUUUAACUCUGAAGAUGCCUGCCCUCGUCAGCUUCGGGAUAUUUCUAUUGAAAUUCUCAAGAAAUGUGGCGGUAUGCCCCUUGCAAUUAUUACUAUAUCAGGCAUGCUAGCAAGUGGAAUGCUACCAGGUGAAGUCUUCGAUCAAGAGGAGUGGGAACAUAUACGGAAUUCUCUAGGUUCGGGGACAAAUCUCACGUUGGAAGGGGUGAGAAAAAUCUUAGACCUCAGCUACAAAAAUCUACCUCCUCAUCUCAAGACAUGCUUGUUGUAUCUUGGUAUGUAUCCAGAGGACUUUGAAAUACCGAGGCAGCGUUUGGAACUUCAAUGGAUUGCCGAAGGUUUUGUCAGUAAAGAAGAAAAGGGAAAAGAUGUGGAGAAGGUUGCAAGAAGUUAUUUCAAUGAGCUUAUCAAUAGGAGCCUUAUUCAACCUACAAAAUUUGACAACCAUGGUAUGGUCACACAUUGCAAAGUUCAUGAUAUGAUGCGUGAUCUUAUCUUGUGGAAGUGUGCAGAAGAGAAUUUUCUCACCAUAAUUGAUGACCCUCGAGCCAUGUCAAAACUGGAUAACACGGUCCAUCGACUGUCUCUCCAAAGUGAUUGUCCAAGAUUUACAAAAGUGUUACCGGGUAACACUAAUCUGUCACAAGUUCGGACGUUUAUGAUCUUUGGCGAUCUUCAAUAUAUACCUCCUCUGUCCAUGUUCAAAUUCCUCAGGGUUCUUCUUAUUGAGGAGUCCAAAUGUCUUUAUCCCGCCGGCACCGCUGCACUGGCCAAGUUGUAUCAGCUGAGAUAUUUAGCCAUGACCAAGCAGAUUGGGAUAUCGGUACCAACAGAGAUCAGAGGGCUACGACACUUGGAAACACUUGAUUUACUUGAUAAUAUGGAUGUUCCAUCUGAUAUAGUUCAUCUAAGAUGCUUGAUGUUCUUGAAUAUCCGUUGGUCUUCCACACCAAUUCCUGAUGGCAUCGGCAACAUGAAGUCCCUGAGAUAUUUAAAAAAAUUUGAUGUGAUGCAGAACUCACUAGAUAACGUCGAGGGUCUUGGAGAGUUAACCAGUCUGAGAGUACUAGCAGUAUGCAGCCAGUGGUAUGCUGCGUCCGACUUCAAGAUACGAAUGGAUGCUCUGUGCUCUUCUUUGGGGAAAAUUUGUACCAGCCUCGAGUACCUGGGUUUGGAUAUCAUAGGCUGCAUGGAUGUCUUGAUGGACUUGUCACCUCCUCCCCGCCGACUUGAGAGACUGUACAUGGGUAAUCACCAUGAGAAUGAACGGGAAGAUGUUCUUUUUGACACGGAGGAUGACCUCGGCCUCUGCAUCUGGGCGAUACAUACGGCCAAGGAAUGGAAGCCUGUACCGGGCAGCUACUUUUCCAGGGUCCCUAAUUGGAUGGGGGAACUCAGUAACCUCAAAGAACUGGUAAUCAAUGUCCUAGAGGCUUGGAAUAUUGGUAUUCUAGCACAGUUGCCCGCUCUCGCUCAUCUCAGACUAUACAUCAGAAAAUCUCUAAGAGAAUGGUUUGUCAUCUACGCCGGAGAAUUCCCUGUUCUAAAAUGUUUUGAAAUUCGGUUGAGCAGUGCGUCGUACCUGGCCUUCCAGGCUGGUGCAAUGCCAAAGCUCCAGUGGCUCGGCCUGCAAUUCAGCGGCGUAGGGUGGUUCCAGCACGUGCCUGGACCAGCCGGCAUCCGACACUUGUCAGCGCUUGAAGAAUUUUCGGCCCAAAUCGGAUACAUGAACUAUUGUUAUUAUGGAGACUAUAGUUAUUAUGGAGAGAAAUGGGCCAAGGUUGCCAUGAGGAAUGCUCUCCACAUGCAUCCCAACCAUCCUCGCGUUCACAUCACAUGUGAUACAAUUUGCAAUCUUGAGUCGUCGUUUUUGCCAUGUGAUGAUUCUGAUCAAGGCGCCUCUGAUCCUCCGCACAGGGCUGCUGACUGCUGA
rnacentral:rRNA from 1 species